ACAGGGGACCAGACUAGAAUGGUUAGGGCGCCGGACUCAUAAUCCGGAGGGCGUGGGUUCGAAGCCCACCCCCGGCA
rnacentral:tRNA from 2 species